rnacentral:rRNA from 1 species
UACAUGUGGGGCAAGCGUUGUUCGGAAUUACUGGGCAUAAAGGGUGCGUAGGUGGCUUGUUAAGUCAGGGGUGAAAGUUUUCGGCCCAACCGGAAAAUGGCCUUUGAUACUGGCGAGCUCGAGUGCGGGAGGGGUAACCGGAACGAGCAGUGUAGCGGUGAAAUGCGUAGAUAUUGCUCGGAAGGCCAACGGCGAAGGCAGGUUACUGGUGCGCAACUGACACUGAGGCACGAAAGCGUGGGGAGCAAACAGG